rnacentral:misc_RNA from 1 species
CUAGUAUUCUUUUCUAGUAUGUUUUUUUGAGUAAGGUGGCCUGAUAUAUAUUUGCCAGUAGAAAUAGCUAAUAGCAUGCAUUUUACAAAAAAACAUACUAGAAAAGAAUACUAGGAUCUGCAAAUGUGCCAAUCAUCUCACAGAGUAUCUAUAUUCUCGAAUGACUAGAUAAUCUGAAACUGAAACUCACAGCUUCAACCUUCCAAAAUGCACUAAUGAAAAUAAAAAUAGACAACAGAACUCCUUACAAAAUCACUGUUUUACACAUGACUCGCGUUCCUGCAACUUCCUCCAUUAAUAUGUUUAGUGUCCAUCAUUAACUUGAACAAGGUUUCUUCACAGGUCAGGCAUGCCCUUCCCAGUUUUAGCAUCAUAAGUCCUCUCCAACACAAGAUCGAUUGGAGUAUCCUUAGGACCAGCUACGGUAGGUCUUGGAGUAGUCCUAAUCUUCAAAAUCUCAGGGCGAGGAAUUAUAGACCCAGAUGCCCCUAGACCUCUAGAAACUCUUACUUUGGUACCAUCUUCUAGAUAUCUAAUUCCGACCUUGCAAGGUUUCCCAGUCACUGGGUCAAGAACUUGAACAUUUGAGGCAUGGAGUGGGGCUUCAACCGUAAAGAUCCCACCUUCAUGACCUUCACCUGCCUUGAUGUGCUUUUUCACCAGAUUUUUUCCCUCAACAAUAACACGAUUUUGAGAACGAAUGACACGCUUAAUAACACCAGUCUCAC